CUUGAAGAAAGUCACUUCUCUCUUCCUCAAGAAGAAUCGGCAGCUUCUUCACCUCUCAUAUUCUACUUUUCUCCUUCCAAUUAGUUGUGUUUGUUGGUAAAUCGAGCACGUAAUCGGCGGAAUAUAGUUAGAUCAAGGCGAAGGAGCCUAUAGUGUGUUUUGGACACAAAAGGAAUGGACCUAGAAGAUAGCGAAGGGUAGGAAAGUGAAAUAGGCUUAUAUUCAUAAGCCUGCGAGAGUUGUGCCCUUUACAGUAACGUGAUCAUCAGAUGGCUAAAUUGAAGCUUCGUCAUUAAGGCAAGUUCCACUCACAAAAACCACUCAUCCAUCCCAUCCUUAAAACAACAAGACUUGCUGCACUUACACUAAGUUUGUGUUCAAGGUGACUUGGUGAUGUAGAUACUCAUUCAACUUCUCAUGUAAUUUAAUGUUCUGAAAUCUAUUAAGCUCAUAUCGUUAUGAGCUACACAUUUUCAUGUCAUUUGGAACAAGAAUGGUAAGUGGUAACAUGCAAUCUAAGAAAAAGGUAAUUUCUAUA